AGACGCAGGGUGUAGUCUCCUGCGAGUCCAUCUUGAUUUGGAAGGCUGCGGGAGGAGGUGGCCGAGACCCCUUCCCUAGACCGCGAGGCAGGACGGAGGCAGCCGUUAGGAACGGCCCCACUCCACCAGCCGGCCCCGCGGGACGGUUACUCUGUUCCUGAGGUACCCCCCGAGAUUGUCUGUGGGGUCAGAAACAGCUCUGGAGGGGUCUGCAGAAAUUACUUUCCCAAGUCUUUGGGCUGGAAGGAACGAACAGUGCCUGACCAAGGACUUUGAGCAGGAGAGAGAUGGGAGCAGAGAGGAGCCAAGGUUGGCUGUGAUAGGUGUCCCUGGCCACGUCAGUGGAGCACCCAGGCCUCAAGCAGCAUGCUGGGGAAGGGAAAACCCCCCAUUCUGGUGAUGGAGGUGGCCAUGACCAUGUCUGGUUUUCAAAGGCAGCUUUGUAAGAACAGAAACCAGCAGCUCCCCAACAUCUGGCCCUAUCUGCUGUGCAAACCACAGGGACCAGGACCUUUCCGGGGUGCCAGUGGCAUCCUCUGGAACCAGCUUCUCAGUGGAAUUUCAGAUGCUAUUCCUGGUCAAUUGCCUUUGCUAUGUGCUAUCCUUUAAUAAAUUCUGUUUC
ensembl:lncRNA LINC01016 long intergenic non-protein coding RNA 1016